rnacentral:rRNA from 1 species
AACGAACGCUGGCGGCAGGCCUAAUACAUGCAAGUCGAACGGAUGUAGCAAUACAUUAGUGGCGCACGGGUGCCUAACGCGUGGGAACAUACCCUUGAGUAAGGAAUAAUGUCUGGAAACGGACACUAAUACCUUAUAAUGACUUCGGUCCAAAGAUUCAUCGCUCAAGGAUUGGCCCGCGUCUGAUUAGCUAGUUGGUGAGGUAGCGGCUCACCAAGGCGACGAUCAGUAGCUGGUCUGAGAGGAUGAUCAGCCACACUGGGACUGAGACACGGCCCAGACUCCUACGGGAGGCAGCAGUAAGGAAUAUUGGACAAUGGGGGAAACCCUGAUCCAGCCAUGCCGCGUGAGUGAAGAAGGCCUUAGGGUCGUAAAGCUCUUUCAAUAGUGAAGAUAAUGACGGUAGCUAUAGGAGAAGCCCCGGCUAAAUUCGUGCCAGCCGCCGCGGUAA